rnacentral:rRNA from 1 species
GACGAACGCUGGCGGCGUGCUUAACACAUGCAAGUCGAACGGAAAGGCCCUGCUUUUGUGGGGUGCUCGAGUGGCGAACGGGUGAGUAACACGUGAGUGACCUGCCCUUGACUUUGGGAUAACUUCAGGAAACUGGGGCUAAUACCGGAUAGGAGCUCCUGCUGCAUGGUGGGGGUUGGAAAGUUUCGGCGGUUGGGGAUGGACUCGCGGCUUAUCAGCUUGUUGGUGGGGUAGUGGCUUACCAAGGCUUUGACGGGUAGCCGGCCUGAGAGGGUGACCGGCCACAUUGGGACUGAGAUACGGCCCAGACUCCUACGGGAGGCAGCAGUGGGGAAUAUUGCACAAUGGGCGGAAGCCUGAUGCAGCAACGCCGCGUGCGGGAUGACGGCCUUCGGGUUGUAAACCGCUUCCGCCUGUGACGAAGCGUGAGUGACGGUAAUGGGUAAAGAAGCACCGGCUAACUACGUG